AAAACAUGUAUUUACAUAUGUAAAUACAUAUAUUGUAUUUACAUACAAUAAAGAUAUGUAAACACCUAUCUUUAUUUACAAUAAAGAUACAAAACACAAAAAGAAAAUGAAAAAACCCAGUACAUUGAUAACAUAGUAUUAGGUUGCAUUAAUAAGAUCUAGCAGCAGGUCUAGCAACUACUAGAAUUUUAAAAGGUGAUAGAUGUUUUGAGGUGUCUGAAACAUCAGAAAUAGGAAAAUAUCUGUGACUUCUAUUGGGACAAAGUCACAGGCCCUUCUAAUACUACUGUUAUGUCACCAGCAUCCUAAUAAAGGAAAUGCUACACUUUGCUUAGAAGUUAGUGAAAAUUUAAGUGUAAUCCCUUUUCCUCUCCACUUUUAGGAAUUCUCCUUCUGCCCCCCUACAAUUUAUCCCUGGGCCAAGGAUCUGCAGACCCCCGGUUAAGAGUAUCUGGAUUUAAUAAUCUUUUGUAAUUAACAAUGGUGAUAGGUACCAUUUAGUGCUUACUGUUUGCCUGUUGUAGGGUUUAUUUACAGUAUUAUUAAUCUUCAUAGCCAUUCUAUGAGGUAAUUAUUACUCUUGUUUAACAGAUGUAGAAAUGGGGGCUUUUGUAGGUCAAAUAAUUUGCUGAAAAAAUAAAAUUCCUAACUCUCAGGAAUCCAACUACACUUUUUGUCCCCUAGUCCUGAUUUAAAUGAUUAACACAUUUAUUAUCCAAACUAAGGUGUGAAGUUUUAGAGCUGGUUCCAAAACAAGAAAAAUUUUUUAAAAAAUUGUUGUUUUGUUGAUUACAGCUACAGUGGUUUCUGUUCUUUGGUCUUAUACUCCUGGAAGCAUGCUUUAGAGUAAUUUUUAAUACUAUUCUAGAUGAAGUGCAAAAUAAACAAAAUACAUCUUUGUUUUCUUUCUUUCUAGCUGUCCAAAACCAUUUGAUAUUACAUCGUUUCUGAGAAGGAGCCAACAGUGGGCCAGUGAAGAAAAAGAAGUUUAAAAAGUCCAGAAAUCUUAGGGUUUUCAUGGUCAUUACCUCUGUCAGAACUUUCUUAGACCUAGUGUUUAUAUCAGAAACCCCCAGCAGCUUAGAAAUCUUCAUCCAACUCCAAUUAUGAAUACAGGUCAAAAGUAAAAUCAUGUCCCUGGAAACCUACUUAAGUACCAUGAGAACUUGAGUGACAGUUCAUUAAAGGACUGCGUCUCAUCUAAGCAAACAACAUUCCUGCGGCAGCGUAGCAGCAGCGCGCACGGACUGAGUGCGCACCGUGGGCCACUCGGGGCUCAGUGCCCUGCCCUGGUCCUCAGCCAGCCUCAUCUGAACCCUGGGCCGACCCCUC